AGGACCAUCACAGAUGCUCUGGAUAACUCUUACAGUGGAGGGAACCCACCAGCCAUCCUGGUUGAUUAUGAAUGAGGCUGUCCAGCCCUGUCUGAGCUCAGCACCUCCACCAUCCCCUGGGCAUUUCUACAAGACGUUCUGUAUGCAGGGGGGACCCAGGUAAAACUGUAGUCUGAUUCUGGACUCUUUCCCUGAGCUCUCCCGCCUAUUACCAGCACCAUCAUUCUUCCUAUCAGCCAGGUGUACAGUCUUGCCAUCGGCUCACCUCUCUCCUUGGCCCCCCAGAGAGAGUUAGUCAUCCAUUUCUUCAGUCUCACAGCUGCCUUCCUCCAGGCUACCAUCUCCUCACUUGCUACCUCAGGAGUCUCCCAACUAAGAGAUCUUCCCACUUCUCCCUACCCAUUUAGCCUCUGCACUUGGCCUGAUUAAACUCUGAUUUCAUCUCUCUGCUCUAAAUCUUCCUGUACAGGUUAAGACCCAAACUGGUUCAAUUGGCAUCUGACGCCCUUUGCAAAUGGCUCUACUCUCCUUCAUCAAUCCAUCACCCAAAGACAGCCUGAUCUAAAAGGAUAGAUUCUUCACACAUGCCAUCCGCACUCCUGCCUUCAUAUGAAGUUACUCCUACUUUUUGGCCACCUCUCCUUCGAAGCCCAGCCUCAACUCCCACCUCCUCCUUCAUGAAGCCCUCCCCAGCCACAUAAGUUCUCAGUAGUCAUUUCUCUGAAUUUUGAGUGUCUUCCUGUCUAUAUAAUGUGUCUGGCACUUUAAGAAACAUUAGACUGUUUUGGAAAAUGCCUUGGGCUUUGGAAUAAAAUAGAGCUGGUGAUGUUACUGA
rnacentral:lncRNA from 1 species